CCCUUAGAUGUUCUGGGCCGCACGCGUGCUACACUGAGUAAUUCAAUGGGUAAGGGAACGCUAGAGCAUUACCUAAUCUUGAAAUUUGCUCGUGAUGGGGAUCGACGGUUGCAAUUUUCCGUCGUGAACGAGGAAUACCUUGUAGGCGCAUGUCAUCAUCAUGCGCCGAAUACGUCCCUGCCCUUUGUACACACCGCCCGUCGCACCUACCGAUUGGAUGGUCCGGUGAAGCCUCGGGAUUGUGGUUCUUGCCGCUUUAUUGUGGCGUGACCGCGAGAACUUGUCUAAACCUUAUCAUCUAGAGGAAGGUGAAGUCGUAACA
rnacentral:rRNA from 1 species